GGCCAACUGUCCUUCCGUGUUCUCCCUCUGCUCUGUCAACAUCGACCAGCUCUGUAUUCUAAGAUAUAGAGAUUUGGAACUCUAUUAUCUGCUGGGUCUUCACACGAUCCUCCUCCUCUUCUCCGGCGACUUCUCCACCAUUUUCCGGCGACAACUCAAAUGGAGUUUUUCUCUCUACCCAGAUUGGGAUGAGGAAUUUGAUUCCAUCUCUAGAGAUAGAUACUUCACUUGGGAUGCUCCGGCCAUCCCAUCGUAUCUCGAUCCUUGCCCACUUGAGAUGAUUUCUCAAUUCUGUUUCCUACUCUGUCACCGGCCAACCACCACAAAGUUCACCAAUCUCAUGGAAAAUAUCAUCCAUCCAUAAAUGCAUAGGCAAACCCAUAGCCCUAAUCUAAGUGGAUUUGGGCUUAUAUGUAGUUGGUUCACAACCUGCAUAAGGAUUCCACCAUUCUAAUUUUAUUCUGAUUCCCUUCCAUAUCCAAUCUCACUGGAGGAUUUGUUCCACCAUGUAUCUAUUGGGGAACUCGAAUAGAAAGCAGCCAUCCAUCAUCUCGUAUAUAUUGACUCCAAAGACCUUCUUCCACACUGUUGAAGUCCAAAGUCUAACGUUAGAUAGAGUAGGGUUUUCUGCUUUGUUCAUACCAAAAGACCCAAAUAUGUAUCUACCAAGCAAUCCUUCAAUUUCCCUUUAGAUGUGGAAGUCUCUGAAUAGUUGCUCAACCAUUUAUUGUUUGAGACCACCUUUGCAAAAGGCACCUUUUUACCAUGUCCUGUAUUGGGUCUUCAUCACCUUCUGUGGAGUGCAUUUAACGAAACUUUGUAUCUUAAAUGCCACACUCCUUCACCCAGCAUUAAUGUCUAUUUCAGGUAUAAUGAUGACUGAUCUGUCCUCUCCCUUUAGUGAUAAAAUGCUCAUGUAUCUCCCAUGAGCAUUAUAUUUCCUGGUACCAAGGAAUUCUGCUGCUUGGUCCUUGUAUCUCCAUCUUCUCACCUGAUUUUUUUGAUCAGAUGAGGCUUUUCUUCUCUGAGAACGAAGCAAAUCCAUUCCAUCACCUUUUCGCUAAGUGUGACCCUCAUCAACAUGUUCCUGCUUCUUUCCACCCAGUCGUACCAAGAAGCAUUGUCGGAAAUCCAUCUGGUGAUGUCGUACGAAUUGAAACCUUGGUUGAAGUAUAUUCUAGUAUCCCCCAUGAUAGAGUAGUGAAUGAAGGCCUAACGUAGAAAACAAGUUAGGUAAGCUACCACAGAAGGUGAUAGCUCGUGGUUGAGAGUUGUUGGUAGUUCCGGUGAGAGUAACGGGAAAGAAAGGGUGUUUCUCCAUCCAAGGGUGUUUGUGUGAUAUCUCGUGACUUGAGCCGGGGGUCUUUCGGAAACAGCCUUUCUACUUCAUCAGAGGUAGAGGUAUGGACUGCGUACAUCUUACCCCCCCCAGACCCCACUAAGUGGGAAUACACUGGGUUUGUUGUUGUUGUUGUUGUAUCAUUUUCAAGAAGUCUUUCUUGUACCAGGUGCAAUAGGAUAACGAAUGAAGUUGUUUGAAAUAAGGUGGGAAUGGCCUCCGUGGUGGACAAGAUGAGGGAAGCGAAAUGGCAGUGGUUUGGAAACGUGAAGAGGAGAGGUGCAGACACCCUAAUAAAUAGGUGCGAGAGGUUGGAUGUAGUAAGCACGAGGACAGGUAGAGGUAGGCCAAGGAAGUAUUGGGGAAAGGUGAUAUGACAGGACAUGGCGCAAUUUCAAAUUAUCGAAGACAUGACCUUUGACAGGGGGUGUGGAGGACAUGUAUUAAGUAGAAGUUAGCCGGGUAGUAGUAGUAUCUAGCUUUUUGUGGUUUUACGCUUAUGGGUAUUUGUUGUGUACUAACUGUGGUUCAGUUUAGGACUUAGCCGUAGAUGUUGUGGAGCUGAUAACUGUGGUAUCACAUUAGUUUUCUUGUAGACUUUGCACUGUUCCUUUCUUUGUUACUUCAUUUUCUUCAUUGUUUCCUUCUUCUUUGUACUUGAAUUUGCUACACUUGAGCCGAGGGUCUUUCGAAGCCUCUCUACCUCUCCAAGGUAAGUGAUAAGGCCUGCGUACCCUACACUCUCCCAACCUCACUUGUGGGAUUUCACUGGGUAUGUUGUUGUUGUGGUUAUAUCAAUAGUAGAACCCACAAUAGCCUGCGAUGCGUCUGUGUUUUCUUCCCACUAGGAUUCAUUAAACUUAGAAUCCAGGACUUUCAGAUUUUUAAGAGAUGUUGCAGCUUGUGACUCCAUCUUAUAAUUAAAUCGCUGCCCCUGUUGUUUCUCACAUGCCUCCUUAAUGGAGUUGGAUGGGCCAGCAGCUCCUAUGAAGCAUUGACCACAUGUAUUUGGCCCAACUCUGAUAAGCCCUUAUUCACUCCUCUGUCCAAUAUGCCAUUAAAUGAUACUGACGAGACAAGUGCCUGAUUCAGGUGUACAGUUCCUUUUCUGCUGCAUUUGUAUUCCCCUACCCCAUUAUCCUUUGCAUCAAGCCUUGAUAUCUGCUACGUAUUAGCCUUCCUUCUUUCUCCUUCGCUGAUGUUGAAUCUCGUCGGUUCAACCCAUAUUUGGGUUGAAAAGGAUUCGGCUGCUUACAAGAGCAACUUCAUUCAGGAUAUUGCUAUCAUCGCCGCGAACCCCAACUUUAGCCUAUUUUAGAUGAUUGCGCAACUAUGUUUCCACUUCCACAUCUACCCAACCUCCACAGUAGUCUCUGAUUGCCGUGAAAACUCUUUUAAUGGGACCACAGAUGCAAUGGAAUACCAGUAAUUCUGGCCCAAAUUGCUUCUGGUUUCUCAUCUUGAUGUAAGGACCCAACUGUUGGGUUUCACCAUUGAAGUUUAAAAUGGGUUUUUAAACAUACCUAUUCCCCUUUCAUCACCUAUUCUGUUGUAAGUUUGAAAGCAGACUGAAAGAGAAAGUUGCUGUUGCCCAUUUCGUACUCAUUCAAUCCAUGUGUUUGCUUCCAAAUAUUGCACACCCACCUUCCGAUUUCUGAAGUAUUAGUUCUAUUAGAAGCAUUCUCAGAGAAAGUACCCACGGUGCAUCUAUUGAGGAUUUCACUCUGGGAAUCUGGUUCUUCAUUAAUGCAUAAAAUUCCCCACUCCUUCAAUGUGGGACAAGCACUGACUCCAUUCUUCUCCCUACUGAACCACUUAAGGCACUUAACUACCUCUGCAUAUUUAAUAUUCUUCUCGGCCAAUUUCAGUUUAACCAAACUCUCCUUCUGUCCUCGGCUAUAAAUGAACCUCCCCAGCUUGUCAGCUACGAAAAUCCACCCUGAAUUGAACCUCAACUAUGGGAUGAUUAUUACUGACCUCCUCCUAUCUUGUACAUUAAUGAUACUAAUAUACCUAUCAAAUUUGUUCUAAUUUUCGAACAGUAUAGCCUGUUUCUUAUCUUCCAUUUCCUUAACACAUUUCCAUCCGCCUUAGAUGCAUCCCUCAAGAUCCAACAGAACUAAACCACUGUGUGCCUGCUGAAAGUUGUCCUCAUAAGUUGUUACUUCUCUCUGACCAUUCAUACCAUGUUUCUGCUGUCCCACAUGUUAUUGCAACAUCAUAGAUUUAAAACCCACCGCAAAAUAAAUGCUAUGGGCCAUUGAAUCAAAAGAUUUUUAAAAGAAGAAAGAGAGGGUGAUUUCUGGUGAUCGGAAUGAUCACCAGACUAGGGACGUACUUCCAGAACUUGCUUUUAGGUCAUUGUCUGGGGUAUUGUGCCUGGGAGCUUUAGUUAUUCUAUCUUCUACCCUGCAUAAAAUAAUACAAAAAUUGACUCAUAACCUGUACAUGUUUUAGUUAUGCGGGAUUGUAGACUGGUAAGCGAACAUCAUAUUUGGUGACCUGAAUUCUAUUCAUAGCAAUACCAAACACGAUAUUAGUUAUGCAGAUUCUAAUACAUGAAUAAUUCACCUCCGAACCAGAAACCAAACUACCCCUUAAGAAAAAGACCCUUUUACCACCACCCACCCACACAAACAUAAGGAGGCACUUUUCUAUCCAUGAAGAAUCUGUACUUUUAACUUCAACUCACUCUUUUAUUUCACCUUCAUCUCUAUGUUUCCACUUCAACUUCAAAGGAUAAUACAAAUAGGAUCCUUCCCUGACAAGAGUGGGUUGCUCAGAUAAUAAGCACCCUCCACGUCCAACCCUAAGGCUGUGGGUUCGAGUCACCAAGGGAGUAAAAGUGAUGAGCUCCUAUGGAAGGGUAAAAAAAAAAAAGGUCCUGCCUCCGGGGUUAGCUCAACUGGCAAAGGCUUUGGGACUUAUGUCUUAGAUCACAAGUUCGAACCCCGUUCCCAGCAACCUAAGUCCAUUUAUUAAGUGGAGAAGGAAGGAAGGAAGGAAGGAAGGAAGGAAGGAAGGAAGGAAGGAAGGAAGGAAAGGCACAUCAUCCCUGAUUUCUGAAGGCUGUGAUUGGCCCAAAGGGUUGGUAAUAACUUCUAAAUAGAUUUCUGUCAUAAAAAUAAAAGGAAAGAGUUGUCAAGGUCCUUGUGAGGGUGCUGUAGAUUACGAUAAGAAACACUACCUAUGUUACCUAGGCUCUUCAUUUUCCUCAAUUUACUCGAUUUAACAGGUAUAAAACGAGUAUGGUAAAUUAUGUGGAUCCUUUGAAGUACCAAUACCCUGCUAAAAGUUGGGCAGAUGUACCAGAUACUAUUCCCCAUCCUACCACAUACAUAAAUGGGUGAGAUAAGAAGCCAUUUAGUGUGAGCUUUUCCUUUUUUGAACAUAGACCAAUAGUCAUUGGGCCUACUGGAUAAUCUUAUUAAUAUAAUCAAAAACAAUACCAAGUGUACCUACAUCAUGUUCAAAAUAGGAACUAGAUAAAAUAAGAAAAGCAAUACUAACAAAUGAAUCCUAUUCUGACAUCUGAUCCUAACUUUUGUUACUAUAUAUGCUAAUAAGGUUGAUAGAAGCUUCCUACAACAACAACAACAUACCCAGUGUAUUCCCACAAAGUGGGGUCUUGGGAGGGUAAAGUGUACGCAGUCCAUACCACUACCUCAGAUGAAGUAGAGAGGUUGUUUCCGAUAGACCCCAGCUAAGGACAAGCUUCCUCUUUAUCAAAAAAAAAAAAUUCCUAUAAGCUUCCUGCAAGGUCUGGACAACUCGUUAGCACUUGACUAAUAAGAUAGAAAGAAUCUUUCCAGCUUGUUUAGUGAAGUCAAGCUAUGGUGUUAGGGUUCACGUGGCUUGUCGGUCCAGGAAUGCCCUUACUAGUUUUAGGGCCUUGAUUGGCGAAAGUGAUCGUCGCCUUCAAGCCGGCAGUUGCCGGAUUAGGCUUCGGACUUUCUUUUACCCGCCUUUACUGAGAAAGAAGAGAUAUAAAGGUUGGACAUCCAUCGCUGCCAUGAUGACACAGUUGAGUGUUCAUUCAAUCCAACACUAGGCCAAUCAACCUAUCCUUGGGCUCAAUCCAGAAAGUGAUUCCCUCUCUAAAAGAGGGAUAGACAUUAGGUCAUGAAUAGAAUCUGAGGAAGAGAGAUAAGCAGUUGGUGCGGACCAUCCGUUAUCAGUCCAAUUGGGUAGAUCUACCCCUCUCAUCCGCUGAUCCUUUAUCUAUAGUUCAGUCUACUGAUUUAGUUUCUUCUUGACUGGCCUAACGCACUCGGGCCAAUCUACUAAACGCUAAUAUUGAUUUAACCUGCAUUCAGUAAGGGUCCAUUGUAUUCACUGACAAUACAAACUUUUAAAUUUGAUCACAUUUAUUGAGAAUCUCAUCAUUGAUUGGGUAGGUCAACCAAUUGAUUGAAUACUGGCACACUCGUGAGACUUGCUGGAAAAUCCGUGGAAAACCGCCCAAAUGGGACAAAAAAAGGCAGAAAAUCAUGGCAACCAGGCCUUUCAAUGUACCAGCAAAGAACCGAGACUGAAAUCUUCUUCAAAAAUGCCACCAUUCACCAACAGCUACAGCUACUGCACAAACUUCUCCAAUCUCAACUCCAAUCCAGUAAAAACCUAAUCCUUCUACUCACACUUGUUCUUUUACAUAAACAGGACAAGGUCUCAGGAAGGAUGAUUGGCAAUGCUAAAGAGUAUGAAGGCCUCUAUUUUCUUGAAGAUGGCGAUAAUUCAGUAAAUUUUAGUUCAACUUGUUUGAACUCUGUUCUAGUUGAUAAUAAAGUCAUGUUAUGGCACUACAGACUUGGUCAUCCUAGUUUUCAUUAUUUGAAACUCUUGUGUAUGUCGAUGAUAUUAUACUUACGGGAGAUGACUUGUCCGAAAUGAAGAAUUUAAAGAAACGGCUGGCCCCAGAGUUUGAGAUUAAAGAUUUGGGCCAGUUGAAAUUUUUUCUUGGCAAGGAAGUACCGAGAUAAAAAGAAGGCAUUAUGGUGUCACAAAGGAAGUAUGUACUAGAUCUUCUAAAAGAGAAAGGGAUAAGUGGUUGUCGUCCAGCUGAAACACCUAUUGAUCCGAAUAUAAAAUUCAAAAAUAAAGAAGGAAAUUCAGUUGACCACAGUGGCACAGUCAAUAUCAAAGACGUGAGGAAGUUCAUCUACUUGUCACAGACUCGACCUAAUAUAGCUUUUGUUGUAAGCUUAGUAAGUCAAUUUAUGCACUCUCCAAAGGAAGAGCACCAAGAAGCGGUUUAUAGAAUCCUAAGAUAUCUUAAAAGUUCUCCCAGAAAGUAUUGUCUUUCAGAAAAAGUCAAAAUGGGGCAUUGAAAGCUUUACAGAUGCAGACUGGGCAGGUUCAACUACUGAUAGGAGGUCUACAUUUGGAUACUGUACAUUUAUUUAGGGAAAUCUUGUGACCUGGAGGAGUAAAAAGCAAAGUGUUGUAGCCCGCAAUAGUGCUGAAGUUGAAUACCGAUCUAUGGCCCAUAGGAUUUGUGAAGCCCGCAAAAAAAUGUUUGGUUUACCAAUGAAGUUCUACUGUGACAAUAAAGCGGCCAUAAGUAAUGCUCAUAAUCCAGUUCAACAUGAUAGAACAAAACAUGAUGAAGUGGAUAGACACUUCAUAAAAGAGAAGAUUGAAGAAGGAAGUGUGUGCAUACCUUUCGUCCCAAUCAGCAAAUUGCAGAUAUUUUCAAAAAAGGCUUAUCUAAACCAAAAUUUGAAAUUCUUGUAAGCACGUUAGGCAUGACAGAUAUUUACAUACCAACUUGAGGAAGAGUGUUGAUUUGUCAAUAUUUAAGAUUUGAUUUUUUAGGAUCUUAAUUGGUUUGAUAAAAUCAGAUCAGAUUUGUUAUAGAUAGGUUAGAUAAUUAGAUCAAAUAAGAUCAUAUCUUGAUUUUAUUCCUAA